UGGGUAAUUUAUCAUGAAGAAUAAUCUUUUGAAAAGAAAACCCUAAAUUCUGUUUCAUUUUGACCGGGGCUGCUCUGUCUAAUUGUAAACCAUGUGGCGGCCAUGUUCAUGAUUUAAUGUAACAAUAAAUUAUCUUUUUCCUCUAAAUCUAGAUUAUCAGUUCAAAAUCUUCUACUCGACGUCUAUAUCUAUAAAUCCUUUAUAACUAGUUCAGUCCUAGUCUAAAAACCAAUGUUACGACUCAAUUCAAUAAUUCAUGUUGAUGGGUCUAGAGUACUAGACUGAAUCGAUUUAAGAUAAUUUAUCUUAUCGUAAUUACUAAUUUUAUUAGAUUUAUUUAAAUAGAACUAAUAAUUUAAAAUUUAGAUAGAUCUAUCUAGACUAGUUACUAGAUCUAUAGAAAUUCUCAAUCAAGAUUAUCUAAAUCUAUAUAGAUCAAGAAGAAGAACAGUUUAAAGAAAAUAAUACCAGGGUUAUGCUCCUUUCACCGUUGAGUUCCAGGAUGAAGAAUGAAAGACAGAGAGCAAUGUGAAGACAUCAAAGAAUGUGCAGGUCUGCCAUGAAAUGGUUUAUCCAGGGCUAAGUACAGAGAGGAAUAUAGAAGGGCUGUUGACUGAUCUUGUGUGGUGCCCCCAUGGCUCAACAGACUGAUUGAUAGAAAAUAAUACCAGGGUUAUGUUCCUUUCACUGUUGAGUUCCAGGAUGAAGAAUGAAAGACAGAGAGCAAUGUGAAGACAUCAAAGAAUGUGCAGGUCUGCCAUGAAAUGGUUUAUCCAGGGCUAAGUACAGAGAGGAAUAUAGAAGGGCUGUUGACAGAUCUUGUGUGGUGCCCCCAUGGUUCAACAGACUGAUUGAUAGGUAAUGAAAAUAAUACCAGGGUAAUGGUCCUUUCACUGUUGAGUUCCAGGAUGAAGAAUGAGAAAGACAGAGAGCAAUGUGAAGACAUCAAAGAAUGUGCAGGUCUGCCAUGAAAUGGUUUAUCCAGGGCUAAGUACAGAGAGGAAUAUAGAAGGGCUGUUGACAGAUCUUGUGUGGUGCCCCCAUGGUUCAACAGACUGAUUGAUAGGUAAU